UCUAAAUUUUUUUAUUUGGUUUCCUUUUUUUUUUUGUGUUUUACUUUCACAGUGUUGUUGCUUCUCCUUAAGGGAUGCUGCUUAUUGUUUAUUUUUUAUUUUUUGGUUGAUGCUAGUGAGGUUGGUUUUCGGAUGUGAUUCGAUUGAAACACAGUUGAUGUGGUGGUGCUUGGGUUUUGUGAUUUUUGGUUAAAGUUCUCCAUUUUUUCGAAUUGAUUCUCCUUUGGUUAUAUUCUUAAAGCUAAUUUAUAAAGCCAAAAUGGGGAUCAAACCUCAUGUUCACACCAUAUUGCUUCAGCAUUAAUGGCAAUGGAAAGGUGGUUGGUAGGCAAGUGAGCUAGUUUCAGAUGCAAUGGGUUAGACACCCACUUGCCACCGCCCCACUACUUUUUCUCUUAUUUUUUAAUUUUUUUAAUUUUUAAUUUUUGCAUUUUAACAAAAUUAAACAAAUAAAACUAAAAAUUAAAAAGUAAAAAAGUUAGGGCUUCAUAUGGGUUUUAGGCUAGGACUAUAGGUUUCGGCCCAAGAAAUUGAAUUUAAGCCUUGGCCCAAUUGACAUAGACACUAGGCCUCAAAUACGAAAUAUCCCAUUUAACAAAAAUUGGGCCUUAGCCCACACAACUUUGAAUCAAAUUUUGACUCGUGUAAUUAAACCUAACAAAGCCUAAAGAAUUUAAAGUCCAAUGAAAAUCAAAGGCCAUUUUAGACAAUCCGAAUAAAAUUAGGUGUCUAUAAUUACUUUUUUUUAUGCAUUGUUAAGAAUUAGGAAUAAGGUAAAGGCGAAGACAAUAAUUUUGUCCAGAGUUAAUGAUUCAAAAUUUUGAUUUUUUUCUUUGUUUUGUUUUUAUUUUUUUUUUUAAUUUUUGAAGCAAAUCUAAAAGCUCCUUUCAUUAGAGGCUCGAUAAUUUUUGAAAAUAAUUUGACUCAGUCCAGGAUCUAUGAAUAUAAAAGAAAAAACAUACUUUUCAUCUUCUUUUCCCCAUUCGUCGCUUUAGUGCCCUUUCUUUGAAAGCCAUAGGUCCUAGUCGUAAUUCCCACUCAUUUUAGUUAGACCAGCAAAAGGGCCUAAUAUCAAUCGCUUGCACGUCGCUCUCCUAUAUAUAUAUGUGUCCCUCGCUAUAGGGUAGAAGCAACCUAUUGGCCAAGGCAGCACAGUUUCGGGUGCAUGUCGAUGGUAGCAUGAGAGCCCAUGGUACAGUGAGUAGGCAAGUUGGUACGUCUUACUGACCUAUAAGCCGAGUAUCUUGCUCUUGCUCGGUUCAAGCCAGGUUAUAUUCCCUCAUCGGAAUAUGUUCUUUUUACGAAAUUUUCGUAGUGGUUGAGCAGAGUUUUUCAGCCCUUCAAUGUUGCAUCUAAAAAAAAUGAGAUGUUUUUAGAUAUCAUCAUUGAAAAGAACUCAAAUAUCAUUGUCGAGUGAAUGCAAAUAACUUUGAAUAUCAUCACAAAAAAGAAUUUGAAUAUCAUCAUCGAAAAAAUGCAAAUGAUUUU
rnacentral:lncRNA from 1 species